AAGACCUUGCGCUUUUGGAGCGGCCGAUGUCUGAUUAGCUUGUUGGUGAGGUAAAGGCUUACCAAGGCUUCGAUCAGUAGCUGGUCUGAGAGGACGGCCAGCCACACUGGGACUGAGACACGGCCCAGACUCCUACGGGAGGCAGCAGUGGGGAAUUUUGGACAAUGGGGGCAACCCUGAUCCAGCCAUGCCGCGUGAGUGAAGAAGGCCUUCGGGUUGUAAAGCUCUUUCAGCCGGAACGAAACGGUUACGGUUAAAACCCGUGACUACUGACGGUACCGGAAGAAGAAGCACCGGCUAACUACGUGCCAGCAGCCGCGGUAAUACGUAGGGUGCAAGCGUUAAUCGGAAUUACUGGGCGUAAAGCGUGCGCAGGUGGUUUUGUAAGUCAGAUGUGAAAUCCCCGGGCUUAACCUGGGAACU
rnacentral:rRNA from 1 species